rnacentral:rRNA from 1 species
GUGGGGAAUUUUGGACAAUGGGCGAAAGCCUGAUCCAGCCAUGCCGCGUGCAGGAUGAAGGCCUUCGGGUUGUAAACUGCUUUUGUACGGAACGAAAAGACUCUGGUUAAUACCUGGGGUCCAUGACGGUACCGUAAGAAUAAGCACCGGCUAACUACGUGCCAGCAGCCGCGGUAAUACGUAGGGUGCAAGCGUUAAUCGGAAUUACUGGGCGUAAAGCGUGCGCAGGCGGUUAUAUAAGACAGAUGUGAAAUCCCCGGGCUCAACCUGGGAACUGCAUUUGUGACUGUAGAGCUAGAGUACGGCAGAGGGGGAUGGAAGUCCGCGUGUAGCAGUGAAAUGCGUAGAUAUGCGGAGGAACACCGAUGGCGAAGGCAAUCCCCUGGGCCUGUACUGACGCUCAUGCACGAAAGCGUGGGGAGCAAACAGGAUUAGAAACCCCGGUAGUCC